CAACAUGACCUGGGACUCAAGAAAUCUGUAUGCAACUUGGUCUCUUUAAACUCCAUCCCUGAGGAUCAGAUCAGCUUGCAUAUCCACUGCUGCGUUUCCCCACUUUCCUGGAUCCUUCCAGCAUGUUCUACCUCUGCUGGGACCACAAGGAACAGGAGCUGAUGGGGUUGAGCUGCACAUCCACACAACUGGCUGGGUGGCAUCUGGAUUCAGCCCUCAUGGAGAGCUGCCUGGGUCUGACAUUGUGACAAGAGGUGCCUUCCAAAAGGGCAGCAUCUGCUUCUCUGUACAGAGACUGAACUGACCCAAGAAGAUUCUUCACCUCUGACCUGAGACUGCACAAUGUUGUGUUUGCUUGGCUUCCCUGGGCCUCUGAUUAUGGGACAUGAGGCACAGAAUACCAGAUCACAUCCUUGGCCCUUUGAAGAAGCCUCUGCCAUUAGCACUGGCGAGCAGAGGGUGUUCCAGAUCUGAUGGCCCUGAGAGAAUAUUUCCAUUAGGAUAUUAUCUCUCUGUGAA